GGGCCCGCACAAGCAGUGGAGCAUGUGGUUUAAUUCGAUGCAACGCGAAGAACCUUACCAGGCCUUGACAUCCUCGGAACUUUCUAGAGAUAGAUUGGUGCCUUCGGGAACCGAGUGACAGGUGCUGCAUGGCUGUCGUCAGCUCGUGUCGUGAGAUGUUGGGUUAAGUCCCGUAACGAGCGCAACCCUUGUCCUUAGUUGCCAGCAGUUCGGCUGGGCACUCUAUGGAAACUGCCCGUGAUAAGCGGGAGGAAGGUGUGGAUGACGUCAAGUCCUCAUGGCCCUUACGGGUUGGGCUACACACGUGCUACAAUGGUAGUGACAAUGGGUUAAUCCCAAAAAGCUAUCUCAGUUCGGAUUGUUGUCUGCAACUCGACAACAUG
rnacentral:rRNA from 1 species